ensembl:lncRNA
AAAAUAAGUACCCUAAACUAGUAUCACACAUUUUCCUGUUCUGGAGACUCUAAAAGUGCUAGAUUUGUGAUAUUUAUUCUCCUGUACUUCCUUCAUGAGGACUGCUCAUUCUCCAGCUACUCUUGUCCCACAGCAGUAAUCUAGAUGAGCCAUCUGCCCUUGCCCAAAGCCCUGGCAAAGAAGUGGGACAGACAUGUUUCCUCCUGCUUGCUGGUAUGCUGAAGAUAAAGGACAGGCUUGAUUUAUCCAGAAGGAUUAGUCUGGAGGUUUGUUAGACUGCUCAGGAGGACUGCACUUUGCUCUGAGUCACGGCUGGUCUAUUUGUCAGUAGCCAAAAGAAUGGCUGCUCUCAGACGUGCGCUGCCUGCCUCUGAAAGAAAAAACUAUGAAGCUGAGGGCCUCAAAGGUAGGGUGUCUUCUGGACACUAAAAUAUUCUCAACAAAAGACACAUUGACAAACUCCGCAGCCAAAGGUAGGAAAAAUAAUGUCAGAUUUCCUAUUUUAUGGCCAUUUCAGCACACAAACACUUUCCAUCUAUGACUUCUCCAGAUGGCAAAUAUUUUUUUGCGCAUUCAGCAUAGCAUUAUGUGCAGCAUAGAUAUAUAUAUAUAGCAGUUUUUAUUCUCGUUGGCCAUGUUUCUAACCAUUCAAGCUUUGUAUUUGCUAAGCAUAUACAGAACGUACACUCCAAUUGCUCUCCUGCUUAUUCCUAAAGUUUUGCUGAAUGCAGAUUCACAGAAAACUCCUGACAGAAUUUUGUCAUAACUUUCUGUAGCUGCUCUGCACAAAAUCAAAUUAAGUGAUCAUAAUUACCUGUGGGAAUACAAGAAAAGCUGUUCAGAGCAGCAGCUGUGGAGCAAGAUAAACAGCAAUUACCAGUUUUUAUUGUUUACAUUACCAACAGAAGAAAUCCUGAAGAGGGUUGCUUUGGUAUAUCUUCAAAAAUCCUACAUUAUUUUUCUCCUCUCUUCUUUUGUCACUGAAGGACCAUUUAUGAUGAACGUUGCAAUUCUACCAGUUGUUCUUGGCUGCUACUACCCAUCAUUUCACGCAGAUCUGGUUACACAAGCACAGAAAAGUCAUCAAUGUAUUGGAAGAAGAGAAAGAGAGAAAGUGCUCCUAUUUAUGCAGAACUUCUGGAGAUGCAAUACAGGUGAUGCUCCAUUUCAUAACAGUUUUCCAUGGAUCCAAGCUAGCAGUACAGCUCUGUGCAGCCAAGCCCUUACUAAUGGCUGUUACCUGGAAGUUCAAAUAGCACAAGACCUAUCAAAUAAGUCCCUGGAAGAUUAACAAAAUGUAUCCCCCAUAUUAGCCAGCUCAGGCAACAUGCUGGAGAGUCUGACUGAGAAAUAAGUGUGAAAAAUGGUACGAGUUCUUCUACAGAUAUUUCAGAAAGCAUGUCUUUAGGUGACCCCUUAAGAAGUCCAUUCAGUGUAAAACUUAAAGUCUGAAGAGGGUUUUGUUUAGGCACUAUUCAAUUGUGCUCUCAUAUCUGGACAUAUGUGACAGUAUUAUUUCUUUUUUCUUCAGAAGCCUUCAUAACAGCAAGGCCCAUGCUUCAAUACACUCACGUGAAAUUUCUCGCAAUGUCAUAGUUAGUGACUCUCCUUCUGAUACCUUCUGACUAAUAUCUUCUGACUUAGUCUGCUGUAAAGCCUGCGAACUGGCUUCAUCGAGAUGCAAAAAAUGCUCAUCAUACAUUUAACCAACGGCAAAGUUUCAUGGGGUGAAAAUUGUGAGUUAGAGGUAAAGGAUCCUAUGGAACUCAAGAUCAAGACUUUUAUUCACAACUUGGUGGACAAAGAACAGCUUGGCCCUCUUGACCUACAAAGGGAAUGUGGAGAAACAGUCUGGAAAACAGCAGGUCUUUAUUGGUGGUGAACAGCAUAAGCUGAGGG